rnacentral:rRNA from 1 species
UGGGGAAUAUUGCACAAUGGGCGGAAGCCUGAUGCAGCAACGCCGCGUGCGGGAUGACGGCCUUCGGGUUGUAAACCGCUUUCAGCAGGGACGAAGCGUGAGUGACGGUACCUGCAGAAGAAGCACCGGCUAACUACGUGCCAGCAGCCGCGGUGAUACGUAGGGUGCGAGCGUUGUCCGGAUUUAUUGGGCGUAAAGAGCUUGUAGGCGGUUUGUCGCGUCGGGAGUGAAAACUCAGGGCUUAACCCUGAGCCUGCUUCCGAUACGGGCAGACUUGAGGAAGGUAGGGGAGAAUGGAAUUCCUGGUGAAGCGGUGGAAUGCGUAGAUAUCAGGAGGAACACCAGUGGCGAAGGCGGUUCUCUGGACCUUUCCUGACGCUGAGAAGCGAAAGCGUGGGGA